rnacentral:rRNA from 1 species
UUGAAGCUCGCACGCCAGUGUGGGUGGAGUCGUCGUUGAAAUACCAGUCUGGUCGUGCUGGAUGUCUAACCUGGGUCCGUGAUCCGGAUCAGGGACAGUGUCUGAUGGGUAGUUUAACUGGGGCGGUUGCCUCCUAAAGAGUAACGGAGGCGCCCAAAGGUUCCCUCAGCCUGGUUGGCAAUCAGGUGUUGAGUGUAAGUGCACAAGGGAGCUUGACUGUGAGACCGACGGGUCGAGCAGGGACGAAAGUCGGGACUAGUGAUCCGGCGGUGGCUUGUGGAAGCGCCGUCGCUCAACGGAUAAAAGGUACCCCGGGGAUAACAGGCUGAUCUUCCCCAAGAGUCCAUAUCGACGGGAUGGUUUGGCACCUCGAUGUCGGCUCGUCGCAUCCUGGGGCUGGAGUCGGUCCCAAGGGUUGGGCUGUUCGCCCAUUAAAGCGGUACGCGAGCUGGGUUUAGAACGUCGUGAGACAGUUCGGUCCCUAUCCGCUGUGCGCGUAGGAGUCUUGAGAAGGGCUGUCCCUAGUACGAGAGGACCGGGACGGACGAACCUCUGGUGUGCCAGUUGUUCUGCCAAGGGCAUGGCUGGUUGGCUACGUUCGGGAGGGAUAACCGCUGAAAGCAUCUAAGCGGGAAGCCUGCUUCGAGAUGAGGACUCCCACCCCCUUGAGGGGUUAAGGCUCCCAGUAGACGACUGGGUUGAUAGGCCGGAUCUGGAAGCACCGUGAGGUGUGGAGGUGACCGGUACUAAUAGGCCGAGGGCUUGUCCUCAGUUG